ACGUGAGCAACCUGCCUUGGAGUCGGGGAAAACCGUUGGAAACGACGGCUAAUACCGGAUGUGGCGCCCGGAGACAUCUUCGGAGCGCUAAAGGGGGCCGCAAGGCUCUCGCUCGUAGAGGGGCUCGCGCACCAUCAGCUUGUGGCGGGUAACGGCCCACAGCCUACGGUUAGCUGGUCUGAGAGGAUGACCAGCCCCACUGGGACUGAGAUACUGCCCAGACUCCUACGGGAGGCUGCAGUCGAGGAUCAUUUGCAAUGGGCGAAAGCCUGACAAUGCGACGCUGCGUUGGGAGGAUGAAGGCCGUUCGGGUUAGUAAACUCCUGUCAUGGGGGAACAGGCGAGGGGACCCAACACGUCCCUUAGUUGAGUGUACCCCAAGAGGAAUUGGCGGCUAACUCUGUGCCAGCCGCAGC
rnacentral:rRNA from 1 species